AGUGAACGCUGGCGGUAGGCCUAACACAUGCAAGUCGAACGGCAGCACAGUAAGAGCUUGCUCUUACGGGUGGCGAGUGGCGGACGGGUGAGGAAUACAUCGGAAUCUACUUUUUCGUGGGGGAUAACGAAGGGAAACUUACGCUAAUACCGCAUACGACCUACGGGUGAAAGCAGGGGAUCUUCGGACCUUGCGCGAUUGAAUGAGCCGAUGUCGGAUUAGCUAGUUGGCGGGGUAAAGGCCCACCAAGGCGACGAUCCGUAGCUGGUCUGAGAGGAUGAUCAGCCACACUGGAACUGAGACACGGUCCAGACUCCUACGGGAGGCAGCAGUGGGGAAUAUUGGACAAUGGGCGCAAGCCUGAUCCAGCCAUACCGCGUGGGUGAAGAAGGCCUUCGGGUUGUAAAGCCCUUUUGUUGGGAAAGAAAAGCAGCAGGUUAAUACCCCGCUGUUCUGACGGUACCCAAAGAAGAAGCACCGGCUAACUUCGUG
rnacentral:rRNA from 1 species